AAAUAGUGGUGGCACGAAAUUAGUACGGAAUAGAUUAGAUAGGAGUGUUUAAGCAGAACAAAAAAACCCAGUGUAUUUGAAUUAUAUACACUCAACAAAAAGGUCCUAGUGGGCCUUUUUCUGCUCUUCUAUUCCUUGGCGUAUACAGGUGGUGAUUUGGCAUUCCCCAGGGCGAAAGUUGGACCGAUUCCCUAACCAGCGCACGCAAAUUCCCGCCGCAUACGAUAGUUCCGGACCGAAUUGGGGUCAUUCCAACAUCGCCGGCGUUCCGAUCGAGCCACGUGGAUGAGGUUCCGCCAUUGUGAAACGGGCCGGACCGCUCCUUUGUUCCGAGCCGUCGGCCAUUGCUUUCGCCAAGCGUUUACCGUCGUCGAACCCCAC